rnacentral:rRNA from 1 species
GGCUCUUUGAAUAUAUAAGAUAGGGAGUCGGACCUGCCCAGUGAAUUUUUUAACGGCCGCGGUACUCUAACCGUGCAAAGGUAGCAUAAUCAUUUGCCUUAUAAUUGAAGGCUUGUAUGAAUGGUUUGACAAGAGUAUAGCUGUCUCUGUAUAAUUUUAUAGAAUUUUAUUUUAAAGUGAGGAAGCUUUAAUAGUAUUAAUAGACAAGAAGACCCUAUCGAGCUUGAAAAAAAUUGUAGGAUUUAUAAUAGUUUUAGAAAAUUAACUAUAAGAAAAUUUUGGUUGGGGCGACUUAGGAACAUGAAAAGCUUCCUAAAAUUUAGUAGUAAACAAAUUUGAUCCAAAAGAUUUUGAUUAAUGAAAUUAGUUACCGUAGGGAUAACAGCAUUAUCUUCUUUGAGAGUUCUAAUCGAAAAGAGGGUUUGUGACCUCGAUGUUGGACCAGAAUGUCCUGAAGAUGCAGCAGUCUUUAAGGGUUGGUCUGUUCGACCAUUAAAAUUCU